rnacentral:tRNA from 1 species
AGCGCUAACUCAGUGGUAUAGUGAUUGCCUAAUGAGCAUGAGGUCCUGGGUUUAAUACCCAGAACCGUUA